AAUGAACGCUGGCGGCAGGCCUAAAACAUGCAAGUCGAGCGCCUGUAGCAAUACAGGAGCGGCGCACGGGUGCGUAACACGUGGGAAUAUGCCUUUUGGUACGGAACAACUCCGGGAAACUGGAGCUAAUACCGUAUGGUCCCUUCGGGGUAAAGAUUUAUCGCCAAAAGAUUAGCCCGCGCUGGAUUAGCUAGUUGGUGAGGUAAUGGCUCACCAAGGCGACGAUCCAUAGCUGGUCUGAGAGGACGAUCAGCCACACUGGGACUGAGACAAGGCCCAGACUCCUACGGGAGGCAGCAGUUAGGAAUAUUGGACAAUGGGCGCAAGCCUGAUCCAGCCAUGCCGCGUGAGCGAUGAAGGCCUUCGGGUUGUAAAGCUCUUUAGUCCACGAAUAUAAUGACUGUAGUGGAAGAAUAAGCCCCGGCUAACUUCGUGCCAGCAGCCGCCGUAAUAC
rnacentral:rRNA from 1 species